UAAGCAGGCUUGACCGACCUACAGUCACACUCUCUGCGGUCAAGCCCUGGCCAGAGGGAUUUGAGAUGUGGCAGCAUAAUCAAUUUCCAUGAUUCAUGAUCACCCCAAACGUAGGUCGUGCUGAGCGACUGGGCAGCUGAAAGAAGAGAGCAGACGGGGAAUGCUGACAACAGAGCUGAGUCCACUGCCAUGUAUAGGAGAGGCGGCGCUCUUCCUUUGACUGCCGUGAGGUCAUGUCUUCCUCUUUGCUGAGUAACAACAUCGAUCCCAACACUGCAAUUCUUGUUCUAUUCGGCUCCAAAGAAAAUCUGCUGAACAAACUCAGCAGGGUGGUGCUGGAGUGACUUGUCUCACCUGUCGUUGUUCUAUCUUUGACGAAAACAACAACUGUGGUCGACGUUCUCACUAGGAAAUUGGAGAGAGCUCUUCUUAGGCGGUGGACCCUUUUCAGGGCCAAGGACCAGAAUUCAAGUGUCGACUACCAGGGACUGUGGAAAUAAGGGUGACCCUCUGCCCCAAAUCCGGAUGAAGUCCAACAGUUCCCAUGGUUUUCCUUUCUGGAGGUUUAUCUCUGCCUCAAAUAGUGUUUGGUUGGCUGUUCAUAACUAAAAGAAGGAUAGGCAGAAUAAUCAAGAGACAGAUCUGCAGAAAUGAGGGUCCUGCUCUAGUUUCUCAUGUUAAAGAAAUAGCUGGUCAAAAAACUGAUGGUGUAUUUUUUCAGGUCAGUCUAAGCUGAUAUAAGAGACUGAGAUGAACUGACUGUCAGAUAGAUGAGCUCAGCCUGUAGGACUCGGCAUGUUCAAGCAGAAGUUAUGAAAUCAGUUGUCAUUGUUGCAGCUGCAUUACAACAAUUGUGUCAGUUUGUUGUCAGCCUCAAAUCUUCCACCCCUUUCUGUCACAACCCCCAUGGCAAACAUUUUGUACCUGCCCUCUGCAUCUGAAACUAUUGUGUGAUUGGUCAGAAUUGUUUAUGAUGGAAAAAAGCCCAAACUACUCAACUUUCAGAAGCUGAUUUUUCAGCCAGAAAGCAGGAUGGAUAGUUUUGAGAAACGAUUAUCCAAGGUCAUGAGAAAGUACAUACCAUUGGACCGUAACACUGAACUCCCCCUAUUUGCGUCUUGUCUGACGCAGAUACAAAAACAGAAUAAAAAAAUAUAAUAAAAUUAUUUAGGGGAUCAGCACUGUG